GGGUCGUUAGCUCAGUCGGUAGAGCAGCGGACUUUUAAUCCGUUGGUCGAGCGUUCGAAUCGCUCACGACCCAC
rnacentral:tRNA from 1 species